rnacentral:rRNA from 1 species
UACAGAGGGUGCUAGCGUUGUUCGGAAUCAUUGGGCGUAAAGGGCGUGUAGGCGGUUUGUUAAGUCAUGUGUGAAAUCCCUCGGCUCAACCGGGGAACGACGCAUGAAACUGGCAAGCUAGAGUACCAAAGAGGGGGGUGGAAUUCCCGGUGUAGCGGUGAAAUGCGUAGAUAUCGGGAGGAACGCCUGUGGCGAAGGCGGCCCCCUGGUUGGAUACUGACGCUGAUACGCGAAAGCGUGGGGAGCAAACAGG